rnacentral:lncRNA from 1 species
GCCCUUGCGCUGUCCCUGGCCUGGGCAUGGUGUGUGUGGGGCCGCAGGGUUUGGGUGACGGUGGUCUCGGGGUGCCCAUCUGGCUGUGAUGGCCCUGGCUGGGCUCCUGCAGGAGCGGGGUUCCAAGAGGGGCUUGCUCAGAGCAGCACCGUGCCGUGGGGACGGGGCUCUCCGUGUGUCCCAGCCGCCCCCAAAGCCCUUGCUCGCUUUUAUGACCCCCCCUCGCCACCCACCCCACCUCCCCAGGCUUGCCCUCCCGGCCAGAAGCACUUUAGGAAGGGGGUGAUGUGCUGCCACCUUGGGGGGGCACGGCUCGGCUGGGGACGUGGGGACGUGGGGAGCACAGACACGAGUGUGCCAGGGCCUGGGGGGGGCAUCAAGUCAAGUCACUGUCACUGUUACACGUCGUUCUCAUACGUUAUGCAAAUAUUUGCUGUAAAUUUCCCCCCCCACCCUUUUUUUUUUUUUUUUUUUUUUUUUUUUUUUUUUUCUUUUUUGUCUCUUUUCAGUUUAAAUCAGAAUCAAGCAGAUUUUUUUUUGUUUUCGUUCUCUUGCUUCAGCUAAAGCACCGGGCUCGGUGCUCACACACAGUUUGCAUGAUGCCAUGAAAUGACGGACGCACACGCACGCACACACGCAGAGACACGCUCACAUAGAAAACCAGCCUGGUGGGCAGCCAGGAGGGGUGGGGAGGGAUAAGAGAAGGGGGUGGCCCGGAGCUCCACGUGCCCCCGCUGCAGGCUGCUCUGGGGCCGGGGUCCCACUGCACCCCUUGGCAAUGCUCGGGUGGGCAGCAGCCAGCACCCACGGCAAGGCUGGGGCGCAGUGAGGGGCUGUGGACCCCCCCCCCCCCAUAGGCAUGAGCUCGCUCACAGCUGCAGAGUGCCCCCCGUUCCCCCCCCCAAUUCACUCUGUGCAGGCAGGGGACCCCCAUGCACUGCCCUGGGCACCCUGGCACCACCCGGUGCAGGGCACACGCCAGGGCAGGAGGAUGCCGUGGCACUGCCGGCAGCUCCGGCCCCUCUGCGCAUGCAUGGCCAC